rnacentral:rRNA from 1 species
GACGAACGCUGGCGGCGUGCCUAAUACAUGCGAGUUGAGCGCUGAAGGUUGGUCCUUGUACCAACUGGAUGAGCAGCGAACGGGUGAGUAACGCGUGGGGAAUCUGCCUUUGAGCGGGGGACAACAUUUGGAAACGAAUGCUAAUACCGCAUAAAAACUUUAAACACAAGUUUUAAGUUUGAAAGAUGCAAUUGCAUCACUCAAAGAUGAUCCCGCGUUGUAUUAGCUAGUUGGUGAGGUAAAGGCUCACCAAGGCGAUGAUACAUAGCCGACCUGAGAGGGUGAUCGGCCACAUUGGGACUGAGACACGGCCCAAACUCCUACGGGAGGCAGCAGUAGGGAAUCUUCGGCAAUGGACGAAAGUCUGACCGAGCAACGCCGCGUGAGUGAAGAAGGUUUUCGGAUCGUAAAACUCUGUUGGUAGAGAAGAGCGUUGGUGAGAGUGGAAAGCUCAUCAAGUGACGGUAACUACCCAGAAAGGGACGGCUAACUACGUG